UACGUAGGGUGCGAGCGUUUGUCCGGAAUUAUUGGGCGUAAAGGGCUCGUAGGCGGUUUGUCGCGUCGGGAGUGAAAUCCACUGGCUUAACUGGUGGCUUGCUUUCGAUACGGGCAGACUGGAGGUAUGCAGGGGGAGACGGAAUUCCUGGUGUAGCGGUGAAAUGCGCAGAUAUCAGGAGGAACACCGAUGGCGAAGGCAGGUCACUGGGCCGCAACUGACGCUGAGGAGCGAAAGACAUGGGGAGCGAACAGG
rnacentral:rRNA from 1 species